UAAUUUCUGCUACCUACUUUGUUAGAAUUUGUAGCUUACAAGUUCAUCGAGUAGUGCGAGAGCGUCGACAUUCUACUGUAAAAACUUCCAGAGCCAUUGUGUGUUUUGGAUAGAGCCGAUAUGAUAAAAAGUUUGUGGAUAAUGUUCGUUGAUAAAUUGCAAUGUGUUAAUGCUGAUCGACUUUGUCAUACUAACUCAUAAUCAUACUAAGAGAUGCAAGCAACAAUAACAAGUUUCCUGAAGAAUGUUCCAGUCGGACAGUUGGAAACAAUUAUGUCUGUAUAAGUUGUGGAAUAUCUUUGGAAAGGCACUCACGAAGGUAAAAUCACAGGCCAUGGGCUUAUGGAAAGAAGUGAAGAGUGGUAUUAUAUAGAAAAACAAUCUCCGAGAUAGAUGCCUGAUGGAUGCCCAUGUAUGUGUUGUUUGCAGGAUGAGCUCACCUCAAAAGCAUUAAUAUCUAGUGAACAUAAAAGCUGUGUUAGGUGUGUUGUUGCAAUGUAUAUAAUUCUAUUUAUUAACCCCCGACGCAAACAACGGGGUGUUAUAAGUUUGACGUGUCUGUAUGUGUGUAAAUGUGUAUGUGUCUGUCUGUGGCAUCGUAGCUCCCCAAACGGAUGAUGCAAUUUUAAUCUUAUCUUAUCUUAUUAAAAUUUAGCCUAUACGAUCCCCCUGCUGGGCAAUUUUAAUACGGUUUUUUUUUGUUUGUAAGUUAUAUUAGUCGAGAGUGUUCUUAGCUAUGUUUGGUAGAAAUCGGUUCAGGUCUUCAAGGUCAUCAGGAUGUUUGUUAAGUGUGAUAGGAAUGUUACACAUUCAGUUUGCUUGCAAGUAUAGGUAUGUGGGAUAAGUUAUUUUUUGCUUUUUUAUAGGGUUUUGAAUUUUUUCACCUUUUUUCAUAAUAAUUGAGUACUUUUGUUUUGUCGGGGGUUUUCUUUUUGUUCAUAGAUGUCGGUAAACUAUGAGUUUAUAUCACUUUAUAAGUAUAAUUUAUAUUAUUAAAUCAUUAAAUAGAUAAAAACCUGUGUAUAUUUUAAUGUUAUUGUUAAGUUUAUUCUCUACCUAUGUACUAAUAUGUAACCAUAUUAAGUCUGUUCAAAAAUCAUAAAUAGGUACUUGUUAUUCUUCUAUCAUGUAGGUUGUGAAGAAAUUUUUGUGUUUUGUCCCCACCGGGACUUGAACCUGGGACCUCCGGAAUGUCAGCCACUGGACCACAUAGGCCGAGAGUACAUGGUUAAGUUGCUGUUUUAUUUCAACUAUUUAAUUAAAUGUAGGAAU